rnacentral:lncRNA from 1 species
AUAGGUAGACAGAACACUCCAUUCAUAAAACUCAAUUUUUUAGAAUCAUACAUGGUUUGGCACUUUUAUGAGAGUUAAAAAGAGAUGGGUACAUAAAUAUGACAACACGGUUGAGUUUCGUCUGUCUUUCUGUCAUUUCACUCCAUCAGUGGCGUGACGGUGGUGUGGUGUUUUUUUAUCAAAAAUUUUAAAAUAGUUAUUUUGUGUAUUUUAAUUUAAAUUUUAAUUUGUAAUAUACGUAGUAAUAUCCAUAAUAUACAGUGUAGGGGCGUUUGCACCAAGUUUUUUAAGCAAAACUUAACAUUAUGUUUAGCUUAUUUUCGUGCACUAUGCUUUAAUCUAACUUGAAUUUAUAUUUAAAUUAAGCGGUCAAAUUUCCAGGCUAGUGGCCACUUAACCUAUCUUAGACACAAAAAAAUUGUUUUACGAGGAAGAAUUAUUGUUAUUCCUUUGAGAAAGCUAAAAAGCGUAUUAUGAUACCUCUACGUAAGUUCGAUGAUUACUUUUGAUAUCCUAGACGUCGAUCAGUAGGACAGAGACUUUUAAACGACACUGUAAUAUAUAUCCUCGGUUUAAUUGAACAAAAUCUAGAAUAUCAAAAUGAGAGAAACAACAGCAUAACUGCCUUAAAUCAACAACAAUUUUAUAGUAUAUUUGGGUUUCCUGGGAUUAUAGGGAUAGUUGAUGGAACACAAUGUAAGAAAACAUUCACCUGGGGGUAUUGAUGGAGAGGUAUUUAGAAAUAGAAAAGCAUUAUUUUCCCCAACAUUUAAAUUAUUGGAAAUGCUAGUCUUAAAACUAUAGACUUGAUUGCUUGUUGGCAUGGGUCUGUGCAUGAAGCCACCAUUUUUGGACAUUAAGGACCCGCUUGGAGACUGGUUACUUUUCAAAUUAAAUCCUGCUUGGUUAGUGGUCCGUAUAUUUACUUACUGUUAGAUCAUUUAUAUAAAAUAUAUUCCUUAAAUAUUUGAGUAGGUAUUCAAUUUAGAAAUAUAUUACGAACAAGAUGAAUUGAAAGAAUUUUUUUUAAAUUAAAUGUGAUAAUAUUCAAAGGGUUCAUAUACUCUAUUAAAUUAUUUUAUUAUCUGUUAUAAGGUGAGAUUGCAUAUGCAUUGAGGGGAUAGAUGCAGAAAUAGAGCUGAAGAAAUGUUUCAGAAUUAUCGUUAUAUGGAAACGCCACUUUCCAUGUGUUUUAUGGUAUAAGACCAAAAUUACAAAACACAAUGUCAGUUAUUGUUGCACAACAAUUUUGUUGUUUCAAUGUGCUACACAAUACAGCCAGAAUGAUGCCUGAACAAGAGCUGCCGCCGUUAGAUGAAAUAAAUAUGGACCAAAUUAAUAAGAAGAGAAAUAAUAAAUUAUUUUGAAAGAUUAGGGCAAUAUUUUUUUUUACCUUAUUCUAAACAUGUUUUUAUGUUGUUAUUAAAUCUCUUGAGUAUUAAUUUCUAUAAAAUAUCAUUAUUAAAUGUCUUUUAUUCAGAAAUAACAUACAUUACAUUUUUUACAUUACAAUAUAAACACUAAUUAAAAUUAUUAAAAAAGUUCUCUUUGAGAACUUUACUGUUCUUUUUUUAUUUCAAUGUCUAACAACCCUUUUUUCUUUAGCUUACGUUCUUCUCUGUUUUGAAUACUACUACUUUGAAUUUUGCCCAUCUCCAUAUUACAAAAGAACAGCCUUUUGUCUAGUAAAUUAAUAUCUUCCCUUUUCUUCUGUUUCUUUGUAACCAUCCGUUUUGUUUUGA